rnacentral:lncRNA from 1 species
CAGAAAGCUUGGAAUGUAGAGCUCAGCAUUCCAGGUACCAUGUAAUCAAACCAUUUAGAAUUUUACAGGGUUCCCACUUCACUGUAAACUGGAGAAGAGUUCAAGCAGAGCUCAAGGGACAUGUAAGCAAAAUUCUAUUACAUACAAGAGUGGAUUUAGUCCUCAGACCUGGCUCUGUCACUUAGAAGUAGCAUUGCAAUCUUCACUCAUCAAAUCACUUUGCAGGUAUAAACUUGGAUUUUCUUUAGCAGUCUUUUUCACUAGCUGAGCUUCUACUCAUAAUCUUUUUCUUAAUAGUAAAAGAAAAAAAAAAUCCAGUACUAAAAUUAAUAAUGA